rnacentral:lncRNA from 1 species
AGGAAAUGGUGGUAACAAGCAUUUAUGCAGUGCUUCCUUCCUAUGUGCCAGACACAGUCUCAGAGUUUUGUGUUUGAUCCUCCAAACACCCCUAUAAGAUCAGGAUAGGCAUUAUUAUUUAUAGUUAUAACAAAUCAAAGCUAAAUGACUUGCCUACGAUCAUGCAGCUAAUAAUUGUUUGAGGUUAUAUUAUAACUGAGGUCUUCCUGACUAUAGUCCCAAUACCCCUAUCCACUAUACCACUUAGCUGAAUAUAUGACUCGGAAACAGUUGUUAAAUACUGUCCAUUCUCAUAAUAAUAAACCACAUAUAUAGUGUUGUAAGGUUUAAAAGGGGUUCACCUCACCAAAAAAUAAACUGUGAAAUGGAUAGUACAAUAUUUUCAUUCUCAUUUUUUAAAUGAUGGAGUUAAGGCACAGAGUGGUUUACUUAUCAACAUCACAUAGUUAGUGGCAGAAACUAAACUCAGUCUGAUUACCUUUGUACUAUCUUACUGUUUUCUUUUUCUAUAGUAUCUCACACAUGGAAUUUUUCCAUUAUCUUCAAAGACAACCUUGUCUCUGGUCUUAUUACAUCUCUGGAAUUAACAAAUAAGAUGAUCACCCCAAAACCUGGAAAGACUUAAAUGAAGUGAUGCAAAGUGAAGUGAGCAGAACCAGGAGAAGGUUAUACACAGGAACAGCAAUUAUGUAUGAUCAACUGUGAAUGACUAUUAUCAACAAGAUUUUAAAGCCUCCAUUUCCUGGAAGGAUUAAGUAUGGAUAUGUUUCCUCAAGGGGUAAAGAACCAAAAGAGAAACUAUAAUAACAGCAACAUGCUUGAUGGGGUUCAAUGUAAGCCCUGAAACAUUUUAUCAAUUCAAUCUCAAAAGACUUAUUAGUGAUAGGAAAAAAUUUUCAUGCUAACUCAUGGACCUAACUAACCAAGAUUUACCUUAAAAAAAUUAAAAUCAAACUAACUUCAAAGUUCAUGAACUACACAAACAUUAUCUAUUAGUCACUUAUAGCCCUGUUGUCUCAACAAGUAGAGAUUAAAUUCCUUAAGAUUUUGCUAAAUAAGCCUUCUGAAUUAUACCAUUCAUAUUAAAAUUACCCAAAAUUAUUUUUAGAAACUCACUGAUAUACUGUUUCUGUAUUCCCAUAGCUAUAGGGCUCUACACUAAGUCCUGAUCAUGUUUCCAAUUUAUAACAGUAGCACCUUGAUAGAAUCUUUUCCCUGUGGCAUAUAUGUAUAAAAAUGUUAUUCACUUUUGUAGACGGACAAUUUGUAUUAAAUUGUCCAAAGAUAACAAUGGUUAAAAAUUCAGUUAUAAGUGUGUUUUAUACUUAAUGUAAUCCCUACAUGGCCUCAGUAUAAUCAAGUCUCUGUAAACAAUUGUAUAGUUCUUUUAGGGAAUUUUUUUUUCCAGGAUAGUAAUAAAAUAUUUUAGAAAUUCUUAAGAAGGACA